AGUGAACGCUGGCGGUAGGCCUAACACAUGCAAGUCGAACGGCAGCACAGUAAGAGCUUGCUCUUACGGGUGGCGAGUGGCGGACGGGUGAGGAAUACAUCGGAAUCUACUUUUUCGUGGGGGAUAACGUAGGGAAACUUACGCUAAUACCGCAUACGACCUACGGGUGAAAGCAGGGGAUCUUCGGCCCUUGCGCGAUUGAAUGAGCCGAUGUCGGAUUAGCUAGUUGGCGGGGCAAAGGCCCACCAAGGCGACGAUCCGUAGCUGGUCUGAGAGGAUGAUCAGCCACACUGGAACUGAGACACGGUCCAGACUCCUACGGGAGGCAGCAGUGGGGAAUAUUGGACAAUGGGCGCAAGCCUGAUCCAGCCAUACCGCGUGGGUGAAGAAGGCCUUCGGGUUGUAAAGCCCUUUUGUUGGGAAAGAAAAGCAGCAGGUUAAUACCCCGCUGUUCUGACGGUACCCAAAGAAUAAGCACCGGCUAACUUCGUG
rnacentral:rRNA from 1 species